GCCAGCAAAUAGGGAAGCAGUUUGCAAGCAGUUCACUGGGAGCAAGAAGAGGAAGAGAAGCCAGGCACCCAAUCCUGCCCUGGGAAGGUGACUAUGAUGCCCUGUGUAUCCAGUAUGACAGUAUCCAUACUGCCAGGUUCUUCGGCCCAUGCCAAACCCCACUGCAGUGGAGCUCUGCUGUAUCUAAAGAGCCAACAGCAGAACCAGGACUUCCAUAGCUAGCCAAAAACGAUUUGCAGAUUUCUUGUGGAAAUUGGAUGCUAGCUCAGAGAUUUCCGCUAUCCCACUGAAUGGUGUUUCUACUCCAAAUGUGUCUCUCUCAUUCCAUCAGUUGCCUUUUGUGUAUCACGAUACAUAUGGGGAACGGAGCAUGGUGCAACCAAAUUCACUUGUUUCUACCCACCAGAAGCCUCGCGAGUACAGCUGGGUGACUUUCUGAGGUGCGAGGGCAGGGGAAGUGUAGAGAAUCCUUUUUUAAGGUGAAUUAGCUUUGACUGUGUUAAUACCCUUUUAUACUUCUUAUCCAAGUUGGAAGCAGUAUAGCCCAAAAAUGGCUGUAGAAACAGCAAUUUUUAAAUAGAUGUUGGCAAAUAGUUGUGGACAGUGAACUAUGAAUUCAUGCACAGGAUUGUUAACAAACAGAAAUUCACUGUUACAUUUACCCUCUUGAGGAGGAAACUCAGUACCCUAAGUUCUCUACAUCCAAUCAAAACUACCUUAUAUGCUUUGAAUAUGGAAUACGCAUAUAUUCCAUAUUCACAAUAAACCACUCAUACAUAAUUUACAGACCAACGGCAAUUCAGUGAAAUUAUUCAGCAAUUAAUUUAGAAUAAUGAAUAAAUUUGAGAAAAAUCGUGAUCUACUCACGGACAAUUACCAAAGAGGAAAAACUCCCACAAAAUUGAUCAAAUGCAUUAUUCACUGUCAUUGAACAUUAUUCACCUGGCUGUUCUCCCAAGACUCAAUGUGUAAAUCAUGUCAGUCAUAAAUACGAAGAGACUUAUUUGCCAAACAUGUUGAGUAGUAGCAGUGGCGCUGAGCUAAUGGCUACCGUUUUAUCACACUUUUAGCACUAAAUCUGAACCUCACCUAUUGCUGAAUGGCAUUGAAUGGGUCCUUUUCAGAGAUAUCUAAACAGCUAAAGAAAGGUUUUCAGAUGAACCACAGAUAGCUCAUGUGUCCACUAAUGAUUUAUUCCCUUCCCAUCAUUAUCGACAAGGAUAAAAUACAGGAUCUCUGAGCUGAGGUUGUCUAGCCAUUAUAGUGCAUAAAAUAUUGAUGCAAAUUAAUGUAAAAAAGCUGAAGUUCUUGUAAUUCUAGAUACAUAAUAAAACUUCUUGAUUUCUUUUAAAGCCUAGUCAUUAAAAAUGAGUACCAGAUACCAGUGGGGAAUUGCUGCUCUUGGAACAUAUUACCUCGCUAGUUGUACACCUUGGUAAACUUUAACUGUAAUAUCAGCCUUUACCACCAGAUGGCAAAAGAGUGUCAUUUUUCACAUGUGUAGCAGCUGCACUGCUACUUCCAGCUCCAAUUUAUACUCAAACUUACAAAUCCAUGGGUAUAUAGGCCAUAGUUUUGUGUAGAAAGUCUUAAUUUUCAUAAAAUCCUCUUCUGUAGUUGCAUAAUCUCUCAAGCAUUGUUAUGUCCAUCUCUGCACCUACUACCCUCCCUAAUUCUCAUGUAUCUGAUGGACUCAAGUGCAUAACUAAUGUGCUGAAGAGUAUACUCCUAUUUUAAGUUAGUUAAGUAGAUUUUGUAUCUGAAUAGAUCUCUGUAGAUGACUGUUACCAUAUUUUCUUGCAUACAACACACAUUUAUUCCCCCAAACUAUCAGCUGGAAAUUUUUGUGCAUGCUAUAGAAAAUAAAAUUGGUAAGAACAGUUCUGCCAGGAGCAAAAGUGAAAAUAAAAUGUACAUGUAACUCACAGGGAACAGAACAAUGAGCAGGCUCUGGUUCCUACCUGCUACUACUCAGUUACUAUCUACAAGGAAAUAACUUUUUUCUUCAUUCUGCCUUUCAGAAAUCAGGACUAUAUAUUAUUCCACAGCAUGCUGUGUGUGAGAAAAUAUGGUAUUACUAUGUAUUUUUUUAUGGUAACCUCUAGGAGCUCCAGACAUGGAGCAAUGCCCUACUGUGCUACUUGCUAUACAUAGUACAGGGAACAAAAAAAAAUAUUGUCUGGACCAAAGAGCUUAAGGAAGCAAAUCUGUAUAAAGACUUGUAUUUUCUUCUUCCCGCAGAGGAAGCAGAGUUUUCCAUUUGGGAGUCCCAUAGGGAAACAUUUUUUGCUUUCAAUUUUGCAUUGGCCUGUGUGUUUCAGGUUUGUUUAUGGUGUAAAAGAAGCUAUCAGCUAUGAAUCCCCAGAAUUAAGAAUCCUGAUUAAGACUCUGUCUUCUUUCUUAUGUGCAUAUCAUGAUCAUUUACAUUAAUGGACCUAUUCCUGAAGAAAAUGACCAAAGUCUAUUGGACCGUAGCCCAUCUCUACAAAGCUCUGCCCAUGCAUCAUGGAGGAAAGUAUGAGAGAAUAGCCAAAGAGCAUAAUUUAUGCUGGACAAGUGCACUAUGCAAUUAUUUUUAUUGAGUUACAUGGGAAAAUCUCAUCAGUUCAGAGACUCUUUGCGAUGACUCAGACUCAAAAUCCCCUAAUGACUCUGAUGUUCAACACUAAUUUACUAUCGGUCAAGAAACAGCCUCAGAACUGAAGCUAUUUCUCUUUUCAGUUUGGGGAUAGGAAUAGACCAAUGGACUGCACUGAGCCUUGGACAAAUUUGGAUCAGGAUAAGAAAUUCAUUAGGCACACUGUCUCCAAUACAACAUAAACAGGAUUGAAAAAGUUUGGAUUUUGUACAUAUAUUUUGAAAAUAAAUUUUAAAAGAACAUUUUUAAAAGUUCCAGCUUGUUUCUUCAGUGCUUUGAGAGCUAAAAGAUCCCAUUUUAGAAGCAUUUGUGUAGAGGCUGCAGAAUCUUGGACAUGGUUUGGGACAUCUUUGGGGGAACCACAAAAGGGAGGUGGGGAACAUAGUUCGGAAUAUUUCCUGACAUGAAUGGGUGUUGAGCAAUCAUUUACAAAAGAAAAGAAUAAAACCUUCACAAGGAGGAUACCCAUUUACUUGGUCCGUUAAUUUGUAUGAAAUAAAAAAAACCCCAAGUAGCUUUUGUUAUAAGCUUCCCCCAAGGGACUCACAGGAGAUAACCCAUCAGUAUUUUUGUAUCUGCCCCCAGUGCUUACCGGUAGGCAUCACAUUUUCUUCCUUGCUAGUCUAACCACAGUUUCCAGAUAUAUUCAAUAAAUCAGGAGUUAAAAGGAAAGAGUAGAUGUGGGGAGCAGCUGUUUAUUAUCUGCACAUCUCUGGAGAAGAAUAAUCCACACUGCAUUUCCAUGCCCACUUGAAAUAGAAUGCGACCAUGACCCUGCAAGUGGCUCUUCUUGAAUUGUUUCCUGCAUCGUGUCUUACUCCAGUAUUUUAAUUGUUUGCUUACAUCAGUUUCACUUCACACUAUCACUUGUGUUGUUUAGGCGAAUGAGGAGGCUGAGCUUUAAAUAAUACAGCACAUGAUUUUUAUUUGCCAUGUGGAAUGAUAUUUUUUCACCUGAUUUAUGCCCCACCUGGACAAAAUUAUUUUUAUGGCAGGCUUAUUUCA